rnacentral:lncRNA from 1 species
UUUCAUCUUGAAUUAUAGUUUCCUUAAUCCCCACAUGUCAUGGGAGGUACCUGGUGGGAGAUAAUUGAAUCAUGGGGGUGGUUACUCCCAUGCUGCUGUUCUCAUGAUAGUGAGUUUUCACAAGAUCUGAUGGUUUUAUAAGGGGCUCCCCUGCCUUUACUUGACACUUCUCUCUCCUGCCACCAUGUGAGGAAGGAUGCAUUUGCUUCCUCUUCUACCAUGAUUGCCCACCUAUUGCAUCAGCAUAACUAGAUGUGAUACAUGAAGUCAAAGGAAAUCAUUUUGGAACUUUAAGGUUGAAUGACUGCCUAUUGGAGUUUGGACUUUCAUGGGUCCUGUAGCCCCUUUGUUUUAGCCAAUUUCUCCAAUUUGGAACAGGUUUAUUUACCAAUGCCUGCAACCCUAUUGUAUCUACGAAGUAACUAACUUGCUUUUGAUUUUACAGGCUUAUAGGUGGAAGGGACUUCCCUUGUCUCAGAUGAGACUUUUGACUUGAACUUUGGGUUAAUGCUAGAAUGAGAUGAGUAAAGAGAGGUACAGAGAGAUUAAAUAACUUGCCUAAAGUUGCAUAGUUAUGAAGUGGGUGAGCCAGGACUCAAUGCCAAAGCAGUCUGUGUCCAGACUCUUCCUAAUUUAAUAUACUGGCAAAGGUCAGAAAAUAGAAAACACUGAACCACGAAUUAGUUAUCCAAGAAACCUGCAGAGAGAAUGAAGCAUUCUACUGCCAGAAGGGAUUUCACAAGGAUCUAUGCUUAUUAGAGUAACCGUCAUUAUUUUUAACCCAGCAUUAUGUAGUCACAAUAUAGUAAGUGUUAGUUAUGCAAACAAAACACCAUUUCAUGAUAGGAAAUAAAUGUGUGUUUUAGAAUUUCAAAGCUCAAGGAAAAAUGUACCCUUUAUCCAAUCAAUAAACUGUAGUAACCUAGAGAGUUCUGAUACCCCAGUCCAAUUUUUUUUUCAUUCUUCAGGAAAUGGCCACAAAAAUGAAGCAAAAUUAGUAUUCGAGAACAACAGGAUGUCAUGUUUUGAGAAAAAUUUGUUUUAUAUUUAUAAUAAAGAGAUAAAUUAUUCUUAAAAGGUAUAUAAGGUUACAGAGGUAAAUUAUGGUUUAAAGAUAUAUAAGAAAUCCAAGCAACUAUUUCCAGAUCCAGUGAAUUUCAAUCUUUGUCAGGAACUAAAUUACAUGUUAUUGUUGGUGGGUGAGAAUGUUUAAAAGGGUGGGCACUUAUGAAUUGGGAUAUAUCCUUAAUUCCACAAAUCUUUAAAACUACACUAAAUGUCUUUUAAUUUCUCUUUCAAGAAGGCAAUUCACUGUUAUCAUCAUAAUGGCAUUAACUGUCAUUGUUACAGAAAAUGAUCUAGAUACAUGCUGAUCAUUGACUUUACAUUAAAUAUUUCUUAUUAAUUACUAAUAUUCACUUGCCAUACAGUUCAAAAACCAUGAGUCAGAAUGAUUGAAUAUCUAUUCUAAUUUCCCUGCUUUUAAGAAUUGUGAUCAUGCUUUAGCUACUUAACCUCUCUAAACUUCAAGAUUGAUCAUCUGAAAUACAGGGAUAACCAUUUUUAUCUCUGAGUUACAGAAAAGAUCAAUAGAAAAAAAUCUGUAAAGCAACUUGUAAAGUACUGUGUCUGUCACAUAAUAGGUGCUUAAUAAACAUACUGGUUUCUGUUUUCUUUAUCAAAUUUAACACAGAUAUAUGAUGUUAAGCCAAAAAAAGGUAAUAACAUGUUUCAAAGUGUGCACUUUAUAUGAUUGAUUUUUUAAGACACCAGAACAAAGAUAAUUGUAAAUUAUUAUUUUCAAAGCAUCAAAUACAAUGUCAC